rnacentral:rRNA from 1 species
UACGUAGGGUGCAAGCGUUGUCCGGAAUUAUUGGGCGUAAAGAGCUCGUAGGCGGUUUGUUGCGUCGGCUGUGAAAUCCCGAGGCUCAACCUCGGGUCUGCAGUCGAUACGAGCAAACUAGAGUGUUGCAGGGGAGACUGGAAUUCCUGGUGUAGCGGUGAAAUGCGCAGAUAUCAGGAGGAACACCGGUGGCGAAGGCGGGGUCUCCUG